UGGGGAAUAUUGCACAAUGGGCGAAAGCCUGAUGCAGCAACGCCGCGUGAGUGAUGAAGGUCUUCGGAUUGUAAAGCUCUGUCUUUUGGGACGAUAAUGACGGUACCAAAGGAGGAAGCCACGGCUAACUACGUGCCAGCAGCCGCGGUAAUACGUAGGUGGCGAGCGUUGUCCGGAUUUACUGGGCGUAAAGGGUGCGUAGGCGGAUGUUUAAGUGAGAUGUGAAAUACCCGGGCUUAACUUGGGUGCUGCAUUUCAAACUGGAUAUCUAGAGUGCAGGAGAGGAGAAUGGAAUUCCUAGUGUAGCGGUGAAGUGCGUAGAGAUUAGGAAGAACACCAGUGGCGAAGGCGAUUCUCUGGACUGUAACUGACGCUGAGGCACGAAAGCGUGGGUAGCAAACAGGAUUAGAUACCCUGGUAGUCCACGCCGUAAACGAUGAGUACUAGGUGUAGGAGGUAUCGACCCCUUCUGUGCCGCAGUAAACACAUUAAGUACUCCGCCUGG
rnacentral:rRNA from 1 species